CUACCCUAAACAGCCAACAAUACCAUGGGAUCACAUUCCAGCGAUGCCAAACACCCACCAUGGGGUCACACAGCAAAAACUGGAGAGUUGAAAUUUCAGGGUAAAAUAUUUAUAAGAGUUGAUUUUCGCUCUCAAAGUGUAAUUUUGACACAUUCCGAUAUAAAUGGUGUUCAGAGUUAGAGUUAUUAAACAGAGUUGAUCACAUCAGUGUUUGUCCAAGUCUACAGAAAUGUAAGUAAGCUCCACCCAUGCAUUUCACUUCGGUUGAAUACGAAGGACAGAAGUUGGCGGCAUUUUCCUCCUCUUGAGCAGUUCUACAUGGUAAGUGCAAUUCAAGUCAAAGUCACCUAAAUUCAAGCAGUAAACUGUAAUAUGCACAAUGACACAUUUGCGGAGAAUACACCUCCUCCCAUCCAAAGUUUUGUGGCGAUUUGGCCUCGAGUCCACAUGACAAUGGUGUUUUUGAGGCCUGAAAACGUUUUGUGAGUGGGUUCCUGAGUGGAGACUUUUGAAAACACAACUCUAUCGUCGCUGUGUUUACAGGUGAAAACAUUGGUUAAAUUUAUCCAUAGACUGAUCAAAAUAAAAAUGGUUCAAUAUAAAUGAUUUAAAAUAAUUACUUCUUGGCUGCGUUCUUUCGGCACACUGUCUUGAUUUAAAAUCCAUACGGCUUUGGGGUGAAAAGGACAUUUCGUUGCUGAAGAAAAAGAUAGUAAAAUUGGCAUAAACAUCUCGGUGAAGCAGUAAUCAGAUUAUUUUUGCCUGUCUCUUCCUCCUGCUCGGGCACUUCCCUGUCAUUCCAGUUUGUUUCACAUUCUGCCUUUGUCUGUUUCAGUGAUUUUUCCUUCGGUUUUAUAAUGAUUGGUGUUUAGGUUUUAUUUCUAUUUAGUCUGAACAAAUCCCACAGUGUUUUAUGUUUCCUUGUGGCCGGUGUUUCUUAAAACGUUGUGAGGACAUGAACAUUUUUGAAAAGGCAAGAAGAAAAACGUCGUAUUUAAGAGCCUCUUUUUCCACAUGGACUGAACUUUAGUUGUCCGUGACUAUGACUUCGCCAUAUUAUUAUUACUGUUAUUCACAGUUUUACCUUUAAAUAAGGUGACCAUCCGUCCCCUUAGAAAAUCCCCUUUUUCAGACAACUGUUCCCACUCAGAAACAUGUCCCUGGUUUCAGCUGGUUCACUUUUUUGAAUGUAUCUCAUCACCACGAUAAUUUGAACUUGAUGGUGUUUUGACUGAGGUUAUGCUUUACCACAUCCUGCAACUUUGGCGAGAAAUCACGUGAUAAGCUUUCACUUUGUACUCUAGUGUUUAGAGUCCCUACUCGUGAUCUCUAGAUCGUGUCAAUUUCGACAUUUUUGAAGAUACCAAGAAAAAAACAUGUAAAUUAUCAGUAAACGGAAUUGUAAGUUUAAUGUCCAUACAAAAAUUUUGUUUCUUGAACUGAUGCAGACUAUACAGAAUGUAUUUAUGAUUUACAAAAUUGUCCAAAUAUCCAGUCCUUGCACGAUAUUGCGUUAAGUUUUGCUUGUUCGUGUACGCUAGCACGUCGUAAUGAAACUGCAUUUUCACAACCAGGCAUGAGUUCUUCUUGAGACAUAUGUAAUUUACGCUCCUCUAACCCCCCAAAUAUGUCCCCGGAUUGGCCCAAAAAAUUCUGGUAACCUUACUUUAAAUGAUAAUUUACUUUGUCAAUCUUUAUUACAUUUCAGUAAAAACAUGCUGUUUCAGGUGAAGCACAACCAACAACAGAAGUAUGUGAAGUUGGAUGAGGAUGAAGGGCAGUUUGACUUUCAGCAGUUCCAUGAAAAAGUCAUUGAGAAAUUUUGCCUGCCACCUGAUGCAAAAGUUAUAUAUAGGGAUGCCACAAGGAAAGAAAUUGAUGCAGAAAUAUUCAGUGAACUUGUUGGACAAGGCGAUGUGGUGGUGACAGUUUUCUGUGAUGAUGAGUUCUCUACAUGUUCCUUGUCUUCUGCUUCUGAGAUGUCUGAAUCAGGCUUAAACUCAAAUGCAUCAACUGUAAUAGUAGAUGAGGUCCCUAGCAAGACGGAGAAUUGAGGAUGGUGCAUUGUCUUCUAAACAGUUGAUAGAAGAUGUGCUAAGAGCCAAGUCUGGUGGUGAAGAAGUACUAUAGGAGUACCAAACAACAGAAACCCUAACAGAUAGCACAAGAAGACAAAUGGUUAACAUACUGGUGACACACAUGAUUGAUAAUCAUGGGCUCCAUCCCACUAAAGCAAACUGAGAAGAGAAUGCUCUUCGGAUAGUGACACUGUUCCCUUCCCUCAAGGAUCCAUAUACCAAGAGAGGCUAUGAACACUUCUAUGAUACUGCAAGUAUAACAAGUUACAAAUCUUGGCGUCUGAAGACAGGCCGAAGGAAGAUUUGUAGAGAAUCUGCACUCCCAACAAAAAGCUCUACAGACUUUUCUCCAGGAGGCCCAAAUUUCCAAAGGAUGGUUACUGCUAAAAGGCAGCUUGAUGGGGAUGCUGACAAAGAGGCCAUGUCUUGUCAAAAGAUGUUUUCUCAACAAGUUGGGUUAAAAUUGAUGGUGUAGAAUAUAAACCUGGACUUGUUGUUUGCAGUGCAAUUGAUGAAGGCAUGCCAGUGUUUUCUCAAAUAAGUGAAAUAUUUCUGGUUGAUCAGAUUUUUUUUCUUGACAAACAAGCUAUUCACAGAGAAGUUUGAUGAUCAUCAUCAUGCAUUCAUAGUAUUAUGAAGUGAGGAAUUUUGUCUAAUAAAAAUGUCUGAGCUUAAAAUUCAUAAACCAUUUGAUAUUCAAAGUUCAUGCAGUGUUUCAGACUGUACAUUAUACCUAGGCACCUACCUACCUAUAAAAAGGCAAAAAUAAGUGUUAUUUUUGAAUUUUUUUUUGUUUUGUUGAAAUUAAUUCUUAUUAUAACAUUUUUUUCAGUCUAGAUAGCUUAACACUUUAGGGAGUAAAACUAACACAAUUAAAUUAGUAAAAUAAAAAUAACUCUGAGCAGUGUUGUU